rnacentral:rRNA from 1 species
UACAGAGGGUGCGAGCGUUGUCCGGAAUCACUGGGCGUAAAGGGCGCGUAGGUGGUGACCUAAGCGUGCGGUGAAAGCCCGAGGCUCAACCUCGGGUCGGCCGUGCGAGCUGGGUCACUGGAGCAGAAUAGAGGCAGGUGGAAUUCCGGGUGUAGCGGUGGAAUGCGUAGAGAUCCGGAAGAACACCGGUGGCGAAGGCGGCCUGCUGGGUUCUGGCUGACACUGAGGCGCGAAAGCGUGGGGAGCAAACAGG